rnacentral:lncRNA from 1 species
UGACUGGUUGCAGAACUGAGGUUAUGCAUGGGCCAAACAGCCUGGCCUCCCACUUGUCAAGGCUGCUCCAGCUACUGCUACACACCUGCUAGCUACAGAGACCAACACUGACUCCCUGAUAUGGCACCAUUUAUUGAGGAGACCAAUUGGUGACGUGGUGGCAAACUGACUGCAUUGGGCAUCUUGCUUUUCUUACCCAGUAAUCCCAAAAUACCUGGUAAUCCCUCAAAGUCAACUGGCAGAGCUCUACUUUAUUUUUUCUACUAGAACGAAGCUGAAGAGAACAUCCUUUUAUGUGCUGAAAACAUUUUGACCAAAAAGAAGAAAGCAUAUGGAGGAAAUGGAAACCAGGAAUAAUUCACAUGAUGAAGUUUACAACCUGCACAGAUGGACUGGAGCAGACCACAUAGCUGGAAUUUAGCACCCAGGGACUGGGAUAACCUCACUAGCUCUGUGUCCUUGAACAUGCCCCCACAAAGACCUCUGUAGAGACAAGACCAUAUUAGAUCAUACUUGAAUGAUAAGCAAAUAUUAAUGCCAAGGACUCACUAAGAAUAAAAUCAGACAGACACGUGAAUUUGCUGGAGAGAAUUAUAAAAUCAGAGGCUGAAGGAGAUUGGCGAUGAGGACCUCACAAUUCAAAGUCCAUUCAAGACAUCUUUGAUACAUUCCCAAACACAAGGUCAUCUGGAUGCCUGCAUCUUGGGGCUCACUAAAGAGCAUGUUAAUCUCCUGGAAGUGCUUGUUGGAAACGUAGAUGCCUGCUGACCCUGAGAAGCUCCUGGAGACGAUGCUGCUGCAGGUGGGCUGAGCCCAUUGUCUGCGUGUUACUGCCAUCACGGCGUCACACUGGUUGACAAGUGCAGGUCUUGUGCCACUCAGAAAGAAAGUCGUGUUUUCUCUCCCACUGAUCUCUCACCAAGAACUAUGAGUAAAGACUAAAUAAAAGGAACAGGUCUAAAGAAAAACAACACAGAAUAGACAAACCCCCAGUUUUAUAUGGAUGUACUUCUGAAAGGUUGUAUAUAAAUCAGAUUUGUGUGAGUUAAUCUUUACUUUCCCUUCACUUAAAUCUCAACAUGUUAUAGUCACUUUUGAUUUUCAUGUGGGAGUGACUCUGCCACAUUCACUUUAUUUUUCAUCUCCACGUAGCCUCCCCACCAUGAACUUAACUACCUGUGAAUGGACUAAGGAGAAUAAGCAAGAGCAUGGAGGGCCAUCUGCCUCCCGGCAGCAGAGCUCUUCCUCACUGGGGGCCCCCCUCCCACACACUGACAGCUGGGGUCUCAUCUCUCUCGGGGUCACACUGCUGUGGGUUUCCUGCAUCUGUGUGUGGGAUUUGCGUUCUGCCCAAGGCCCUGGCUCUCUCUGCGCUCUGCCCCCGCUGACUGUUCCCUGGCUGACCUGUCAAGUUGUGGCUGGAGACCCAGAAUGACCUAGCCCUUGCCUAUUCCUCAGGAUACACCACCUGUCAGACCAGUUGCCCUGGUUGGGCUGGUCUCCUGUCUGGCUCCACUCUGGGUCAGUACCAUCUACUGACAAGAGGGCCCAGAAGCCAUUCCCAGUUGGAGCUCAUGCUCAUGUGCAUGCUUGGCAGCCAGCAACUCCUACCAGUGUUUGCUACCAGAGUGGGUAAAAUACACGCUCACAAAGAAAGACAGACAACCAAAAAGCUUUUGUCCCCCAACAAUGGUCUCCCCUGAGGUGCUCUAUCUCUUCUUCCUCCUACCUCUCUGCCCUCAAACCCCACAAAUAUGUCUGUCUUGUCCAUGCAAAACCCACUGGAUCCUAUUCUCCUAUUUUUUUACUUGUCUGUCACAAAAUUCCGGGAAACAAAGAAUAAACCAGAUGUCUUACUGCUUAGAGAAGAAUCGCCUUGACGGACCAGAAACCGUUCAAGACUGCUGGUCCCUUCCUCAGAAGAACACAUUUUCCUGUCUCCUCAGUUCUGGCGGCAGGAGUGUUAGAGCUGCUGCUGGGCCUUGGCUAUCUGGCUGUACCAGGGGCUUGCAGGGAGUACCUUGCCAGCCCUGCUCUCUGACACCAGGGGGCUGAUUCAAACCCAGGCCAGGGACAGACAGUGCCAAGCCAAGUGACACUCUCAACCUGGGCUGUCGCAUGGACUUGCUGCUUCAGCGAGAUCCUGAGACACAUCUAAAGACUGAAAAGUCUAAGGAAAGCCAGGCAGGUGACAGAAAUGAGAGAAGCUUGCAGGGAAACAGCCCAAUAAUAAGUGGAGAUUGCCACUGACUUCUCUGUCCUGAAGGGGCAGCCGUCUAGACGCAGUGUUCCCACGACUUUUGAGAUGUAUAUAUAUAUAUAUAUAUCUUGAGAUAUAUAUAUAUACUUUGUGUGUGUGAGUGUGUGAGGAAGAUUGUUGCUGAGCUACCAUCUGUGCCAAUCUUCCUCUACUUUAUGUGGGACGCUGCCACAGUGUGGCUUGAUGAGCAGUGCUAGGUCUGUGCCUGGGAUCCAAAGCUGCAAACCCUGGGCACCCAAAGCAGAGUGCGUGAACUUAACCACUACACCACGGGGCUGGUCCCUUGAUAUAUUUUUUUUAAAGAGAAGCUAGAUAUCUGGGUUUUUAUGUAAAAUCUCUUAAUUAAAGAGCAAUGAUAUCUAAUUCAGGGUUUUUAAAAAUAUCAUGUGGGCCAGACGAGUUGUGUUCAUGGGCCAAAUCUGGGCUGUAGGCUACCAGUCUGUGAUCUCUGGACCAGAUUCUUCCUUUGGAUGUGGCUUCACCUGCUCCUUUUGCUUCUUUACUAUCCUCUCUGGUUUGUCCUUAUGCUCCCAGACUCUCAGCUUGAUUUUACCUUUUGCACCCCUCUUUCUCUAAUUCCUAUCUCCAGGCUCACUUGUGUCCCCCCAGCUGCCUAACACGUGCCCUCCUGGUCUGCCUUCUGCUGCUGCUUCCAGGACACUGGCAGUUGCCUAUGAACACAGCCUUCCCCUGGGAGCACCGGCAUGGGUGAAGGCGCCAUGUGUGUCACAGCAUCCUGAUCCCCUCAUAUCCCCGCAGGCUGAGGGCUUGCUCUCCAAAUACACCAUCUCCAACCACAGGAUUGACCAACCCCAAACCAAGUGUACCUUGCCAGGGUAUCUGAGAACUCCCAGUGGCCACAGGCUUCACGAACCUGCUCUUCUAUAUUCUCUUCCUUCUCUCAGACAGUGAUGACCAAACUUUUUAGAUUGUGCAAUAGAAUAAAGUUUUAAGCAUGCAUAAAAUUUAACUUUAUGUAUUUAUUUUAUGUAUUUAUAUUUAUUUAUAAUUUAUAUGCAUUCUAUUUUUGUAUUAUGUAUAAUAUGUAUGUUCAAAAUGGAAACAGAAAGAAUGACAUAAAAAUAAAUAUAUAUAGAGGGUGUAAUAUUUUCUCCCCACACCCUAGUGGGUUCCCCACUGCUCCAGGAUUUCUUCCAUUUCCACUCUCCAACUUAGAGAAUGUUUGUAUUGAGAAAGUUGGAUCUGUCGGUGAGCUUGGGGCCAGGAAGCAGGAGACUUGCCCACUAGUCCUCUUUUACUAACUCACAAGUUGUUUGAACAGGAGACUAGACCUCAAAGCUCCUGGAUCUCUGGAUACUGACCCUAUGUAGCUACUCAGAUGCUUCCCCGUGCCUGUGGGUUCUAGGCGGCUUCUUCUGGCCUCAUCUGAACAAGGGAAGGAAUUAUGCUAAAUGAUCUCUACAGUCCCAAGAGCACCAACUCUCUAGGAGUCAUAUGUGGGCCAUUUACCCUGGAAGCAUAAAUGAAGCUGACUGGUGUGGGAGGAAUUAUAGCCACUGCCAGUAGUCCUGUUCCUGGGUCCGAACUAAAAGAAUCUUUUGCCACUAUUCCUACCUCUCCUACCUCAAAUCAGUCCCUCUUUGUUUCUCACAUGGACCACCCAGUGCCCUCCUAAAUCAUCUCCCUCCCACCUUUCUUAGGUCCUUCUAAUCCACCCUCCAUAUGGCUGCCUACAGGCGCUUUCUGACCUGUGGGUCUCACCAUAUUAUCGUCCUGGUUGUUUCUUCAGUAGCUCCCCAUUAUCUUUAGGGUAAAAUCUAAACUUCUUAGGUCAGCCUACAAGACCCUAUCUUACCAGCCGGAUCUCUCUCUUUCUUUCUUAAAUCUCCCCCCAAUGCAACUUACGCUCCGCUUACUGCCAACAUCAUAUUCUUUUUAGGAACAUGCCAUGCUGCAUACCUCAUCUGGGUCUUUGCUCACAUUAUUUCCUCAGCCUGAAAUGUCCUCCCUUCUCAUUUCUGUCCUCCCUGCUUUUUUUCUCUAGCUUUUUCACCUUUUUUUUUUUUACACCUCAUUAUGAAAUGGUAAACAUUUGUGAAAUUCAGAAAGUACAUAAAAGAAAAUCAACUAUAGUCUCAUAAACAACGAAUGUUAGUAUUUGGGCAUAGUUCCUCCAAUCUUUCAGACCUUUCCAUUUUUCUUUAUACGAACAUUUUGUACAUGAAUCUUACGUAUUCUAUUGUUUAUUUUACAGUAAUUCUUUUUUCAUGAUUCUAAAAUGUCUUUAAUUUGAUGACAUUACAUUAAUUCUUUAUUCGUAAACGUAUUUCUUUGAAAACUUCUCGAAAAUAUAAUUUUAAAAUUUUUAUUUUAAGAUUUUAGACUUACAGAAGAGUUUCAAAAGUACUAGAGAAUUCCUGCUCACCCUUCACCUAGCUUCUCCCUAAUGUUAACAUCUUAAAUAACUAUAGUACAAUUAUUGAAACGAAAAAACUAACAUUUGGUGCAAUUGUUUUAAUUAAACUACAGACUUUGUUCUGAUUUCAUCAGUUUUUUUCCCAAUAAUGUCCUUCUUGUGUUCUGGGAUCAAUCCCAAAUCCACAUUGUAUUUAGUUGUCACAUCUCCUUACUUGCCUCCAAGAACGUGACAGUUCCUCAGUCUUUAUCUUUUACGACCUUGGGAUUUUUAGAGUGGUAUACAGUUAUUUUGUAGAAUGUCUCCCGAUUUGGGUGUCUCUGAUGUUUUCUCGUGAUUAGGUUGAGAUUCUACAUUACUGGGAAGAAUCUCCCAGGGGUCAUGGCACCCUCGGUGCAUCCUAUGGGGGGCACAUCAUGUCAAUGUGUCUUCUUAUUGGUUUUAACCUGAAUUAUUUGCUUAAGGUGGUGUCUGCUAGGUUUCUCUACCUUAAAGUUACUACUUUUCUCUUUGUAAAUAAUAUUUAUUUAGAGGAGAUACUUUGAGAGCAUACAAAUGUCAUGUUUCUCCUUAAACUUUUGCCUGCUAAUUUUAGCAUCCAUCAGUGGCUCUUGCUUGCAGCAAUUAUUACCAUGGUGUUCUAAUGGUCAUUUUCUAUUUACCUCACUCCUUAUAUUUUUAAACUGGAAUUCUUCUGUAAAGAAGAGUUGUCCCUUCUCCCCAGUUUAUUUAUAUCAGUAUGGACUCGGGGAUAUUUAUUUUAACCUUUGGGUUUUAAUCCAGUACUAUUCUUACUUAUUUUAUUGCUCAAAUUGUUCAAGCCUUGGCCAUUGGGAGCUCUUUCAGGUUGACUUCCAUGCACUUUCAACAGGUCCCCCAUCCUUUUUUUGGAGGGGCCCUUCCUUCCCUUCUGGCAUAACUUGAAUCUUACCUGUUCCAGUCCUGGAAUCCACUGUGUCUCCAAGGAACCAUGAUUCCUUUUGUCAGAGAACGGUAUUUAGAAAUCAAAGCCUAGGUGCUAAGUUGUAUUUUUGGGUCCAAGAAUAUAGUUGUUAUUAAUGGCUCAGUAUUCACGUUGACAGACUCUUUCUCCAAUAAGGUUAAAUUAGCUUACAGUGCCAACAACUAUUUUGCAGUUUUACUAUAACAGAUUGUCUAUUCGGAUGAAUUAUCAUUCAUUUUUCUCUUCCUUCUUCCCUCCUUUCCUUUUUUCUUUCUUUUCUAAUAUAGUGAGAAAAAUGUACUUUAUUUUCCAAUUACAAGUGAGUUUGGGUAUUUCAUUCAUUCAGCAAAACUGCAGUGAUGCUGCCUAGAAAUCAGGUACUGUUCUAGGCACUGGGGAUGUAGCAGUGAGUAAAAUUCCUGUCCACACAGAGCUGGCUUCCAGCAGGGGGAAGAGGCAAUAAAUAAUCACACUCAAUAGUAUUAAAAACGGAGUGAAAAGUGCUAUAGAGAAAAGUAAAGCAGAAGCAGGGGAUGGUACCUUAGUGGGUAAUAUCUGUGAUUUUCAAUAGGCGGUCAGAGAAAGCCUUCCUAAGGUGACAUUUGAACAAAGGCCUAAAAAAGUGAGUUUAAGACAAACCCAUAGCCAACAUCAUACUCAAUGGGCAAAAACUGAACCCCAUCCCCCUGAAAACAGGAACAAGACAAGGAUGCCCUCUAUCACCACUCUUAUUUAACAUAGUACUGGAGGUCCUGGCCAGAGCAAUCAGGCAAGAAAAAGGAAUAAAAGGAAUCCAAAUAGGGAGGGAAGAAGUGAAACUCUUGCUGUUUGCAGAUGACAUGAUCUUAUAUAUAGAAAACCCCAAAGAAUCCAUUGGAAAACUGUUAGAAGUAAUCAACAACUACAGCAAAGUUGCAGGGUAUGAAAUCAAUUUGCAUAAAUCAGUAGCAUUUCUAUACUCCAGUAAUGAACCAACAGAAAAAGAACUCAAGAAUACAAUACCAUUCACAAUCGCAACAAAAAGAAUAAAAUACCUUGGGGUAAAUUUAACUAAGGAAGUGAAGGACCUAUAUAAUGAAAAUUACAAGGCCUUUCUGAGAGAAUUGGAUGACAACAUAAGGAGAUGGAAAGACAUUCCAUG